rnacentral:rRNA from 1 species
UACGUAGGGUGCAAGCGUUGUCCGGAAUCAUUGGGCGUAAAGCGCGUGUAGGCGGUCCGUUAAGUCCGCUGUCAAAGUCGGGGGCUCAACCCUCGGAUGCCGGUGGAUACUGUCGGGCUUGAGUACGGAAGAGGCGAGUGGAAUUCCUGGUGUAGCGGUGAAAUGCGCAGAUAUCAGGAGGAACACCAAUUGCGAAGGCAGCUCGCUGGGACGUUACUGACGCUGAGACGCGAAAGCGUGGGGAGCAAACAGG